GACGAACGCUGGCGGCGUGCCUAACACAUGCAAGUCGAGCGCUGAAGGUUGGUACUUGUACUAACUGGAUGAGCAGCGAACGGGUGAGUAACGCGUGGGGAAUCUGCCUUUGAGCGGGGGACAACAUUUGGAAACGAAUGCUAAUACCGCAUAAAAACUUUAAACACAAGUUUUAAGUUUGAAAGAUGCAAUUGCAUCACUCAAAGAUGAUCCCGCGUUGUAUUAGCUAGUUGGUGAGGUAAAGGCUCAGCAAGGCGAGGAUACAUAGCCGACCUGAGAGGGUGGUCGGCCAAAUUGGGACGGGAGCACGUCCCAAGCUCCUACGGGAGGGAGCAGGAGGGGAUCUUCGGCAAUGGACGGAAGGCUGACCGAAGAACGCCGCGGGAGUGAAGAAGGUUCUCGGGUCGUAAAACUCUGUUGGUAGGGAAGAACGUUGGUGAGAGUGGAACGCUCAUCAAGUGACGGUAACUGCACAAAAAGCGACGGCUAACUACGUG
rnacentral:rRNA from 1 species